rnacentral:rRNA from 1 species
UACGAAGGGUGCAAACGUUGCUCGGAAUUAUUGGGCGUAAAGCGCACGUAGGCGGCUUUGCAAGUCCCAUGUGAAAGCCCACGGCUUAACCGUGGAAGUGCAUGGGAAACUGCAGAGCUUGAGUACUUAAGAGGAUCGCGGAAUUCCCGGUGUAGAGGUGAAAUUCGUAGAUAUCGGGAGGAACACCAGUGGCGAAGGCGGUUGCCUGGGGCUUUGCUGACGCUGAGGCGCGAAAGCGGUGGGGAGCGAUCCGG